CCUCGAUGUCGGCUCAUCACAUCCUGGGGCUGAAGUAGGUCCCAAGGGUAUGGCUGUUCGCCAUUUAAAGUGGUACGCGAGCUGGGUUUAGAACGUCGUGAGACAGUUCGGUCCCUAUCUGCCGUGGGCGCUGGAGAACUGAGGGGGGCUGCUCCUAGUACGAGAGGACCGGAGUGGACGCAUCACUGGUGUUCGGGUUGUCAUGCCAAUGGCACUGCCCGGUAGCUAAAUGCGGAAGAGAUAAGUGCUGAAAGCAUCUAAGCACGAAACUUGCCCCGAGAUGAGUUCUCCCUGACUCCUUGAGAGUCCUGAAGGAACGUUGAAGACGACGACGUUGAUAGGCCGGGUGUGUAAGCGCAGCGAUGCGUUGAGCUAACCGGUACUAAUGAACCGUGAGGCUUAACCUUACAACGCCGAAGCUGUU
rnacentral:rRNA from 1 species